GGGGGGGGAGCGGAAGGGGUAAAAGCGGCGGGCUGUAAAACCGCUCCUUCGGGGUCGGCCGUUCGAAAUUGGCCCCCCUCAACA
rnacentral:tRNA from 1 species